rnacentral:rRNA from 1 species
AUUGAACGCUGGCGGCAGGCCUAACACAUGCAAGUCGAGCGGGGUUUUCGGACCUAGCGGCGGACGGGUGAGUAAUGCGUAGGAAGCUGCCCGAUAGGGGGGGAUACCAGUUGGAAACGACUGUUAAUACCGCAUAAUGUCUACGGACCAAAGUGUGGGACCUUCGGGCCACAUGCUAUCGGAUGCGCCUACGUGGGAUUAGCUAGUUGGUGAGGUAAUGGCUCACCAAGGCGACGAUCUCUAGCUGGUUGGGGAGGAUGAUCAGCCACACUGGAACUGAGACAGGGUCCAAACUCCUACGGGAGGCAGCAGUGGGGAAUAUUGGACAAUGGGCGCAAGCCUGAUUCAGCCAUGCCGCGUGUGUGAAGAAGGCCUUCGGGUUGUAAAGCACUUUCAGCGAGGAGGAAGGGGUGUGUGUUAAUAGUACACACCUUUGACGUUACUCGCAGAAGAAGCACCGGCUAACUCUGUGCCAGCCGCCGCGGUAAAAC